rnacentral:rRNA from 1 species
CCAGCUCCAAUAGCGUAUAUUAAAGUUGUUGCAGUUAAAAAGCUCGUAGUUGGAUUUCGGAAGGUCCUUAGCAAUCCGCCCCUUCGGGGAGCGGGUUGCUGGCCUCCUAUGUUCCUAACGGUCCUCGUCCGCGAGGGCGGGGAAUCAACCGCUAGGAUCGUUUACUUUGAGGAAAUUAGAGUGUUCAAAGCAGGCGUAACUCGCCUCCGAAUACGUUAGCAUGGGAUAAUGGAAUACGACUUCGGUCUUGUUUCGUUGGUUUCGCUUGGCUGAAGUAAUGAUUGAUAGGGACAGUUGGGGGCAUUAGUAUUUAGUUGUCAGAGGUGAAAUUCUAGGAUUUACUAAAGACUGACCAAUGCGAAAGCAUUUGCCAAGGAUGUUUUCAUUAAUCAAGAACGAAAGUAGGGGGAUCGAAGACGAUCAGAUACCGUCGUAGUCUCUACCGUAAACUAUGCCGACCAGGAUACUCCGUGUAUUUUACCUUCCCA